rnacentral:rRNA from 1 species
UGACGGUACCCUACUAGAAAGGAGCCGCUAACUUCGUGCCAGAAGCGUCGGUAAUACGGGGGCUCCAAGCGUUAUCCGGUGUUAUUGGGCGUACAGAGUCGUGUAGGUGGUUGGGUAAGUUAUCUUUCACAUAUCUUUGCUUAACAAAGAGGAGGGGGAUAAUACUGCUCGACUAGAAUUUUCUCAAGGGAGAUCGGAACUGAGGGAGGAGUAGUGAAAUGCGUUGAUACCCUCGGGAACACCAGUGGCGUAGGCGGAUCUCUGGGAGAAGAUUGACACUGAGACACGAAAGCUAGGGGAGCGAAGCAGAUUAGAGACCUGCGUAGUCCUAGCCGUAAACGCAUGCUUGCUAGCUGCAUGAAUCUACCUUCGGGUGGUAUCGUGUGGCGAAGGUAACCCGUUAAGCAAGCCGCCUGGAAAGUACGGCCGCAAGGCUGAAAUUCGAAGGAAUUGGCGGGGAGGCACACAACCAGUGGAACAUGUGGUUUAAUUCGAGACUAACCGAAGAACCUCACCAGGGUUUGACAUGUAGCUGCACGUCUUAAGAAAUUAAGACUCUCUUGAAGGUGCUACACAGGUGCUGCAUGGCUGUCGUCAGCUCGUUCCGUGAGGAGUGCCCUUAAGUGGGACAACGAGCGCAACCCCUAUUACAUGUUAGAAAUGUCAUGUAAGACUGCCUUGCCAUUUGGCGGGGAGGAAGGAGGGGCAGACGUCAAGUCCGCAUGGUCCUUAUGCCCUGGGCUACACACAUGUUACAAUGAGUACGGCAAUGAGUCUGUCGCGAGCACGUAAGUGUAAGCUAAUCUCUUAAAUGUACUCUCAGUGGGGAUUGAGGUCUGCAACUCGACCUCAUGAACACGGAAUUGGUAGUAAUCGCGGGUCAGCUAUACCGCGGUGAUACGUUCUUGCCUCUUGCACACACCGCCCGUCAAACCAGCAAAGUCGAUUGUAUCCGAACCUC